AAUUUAUUUUUCAACUUUCAGCUAAGGCAUCUUUUGAAAGGAACUAUGAGUCCAGAAUUAUAUGCAGACACGAACAUGUUCCUUAGAUUUCUUAGAGCAAGAAAUCAUGACAUUAGUGCAGCAGAAAACAUGUUAAGAACUCAUAUAAAUUGGAGAAAAGUGAACAAAGUAGAUAGCAUACUGCAAUGGUAUAUACCUCAUGAAGUAAGUUAUGUAAAAAUUUAAAACUGCAUUUUUGAAUUAUU